GUCCACAUCCUAGUUCCCAUGGCUCAGGAAGAGCCAGUGUGGUCCUCUGAAUGACCACGUAGGAGAUGCUCACGGCUGGAAUGACCUUCAUGAAGUUGGGGGCAAUGCCCCGGUAGAGGCCCCAUACACCCUCCUGGGACAGGAUGUGUCGAAGCAGACCCACCAUGGAGACCUGCGGGCCACCCUCAAUGGAGGCUGGAGGUGGUUGGAAGCCUGUUUUGAAUAACAGCUCAAGUUACUGGCAGGCCCAGAAGUGCCACAAUGUUGUCUGUGGUACGUCCCUGUACUUUUGACACCACUGAACUCUCAGGCCGAUAAAGUUACGUGGGGGCAGGUGGAACCCAAG
ensembl:antisense Gm17168 predicted gene 17168